CUCCUCUCAGGAUAGCCCCUGGAGAGUUUCCAGAACUCUACGAGCCUCGGCUAUGAGAGGGAAAGUCAAGCACAGGCCUACCCAUUCCAUUCCUACCUUGGGCAGUGGCUAGCGAGUGGAAGGCAAUCUGCGACAAAU